CACAAUAGUGAGCGCAGCGCUGGCUUCUGGACGCUGCUGCUCGCUGUGCCGUCUUCUUUAAAGGAGAGGUCCUGUCCAACCUAUCCUGUGCAUAUUGUUUUAUGUCCUCAGAAAUGGGAUAUUGCUCAGUACAUCUCGCUAGGCUGAUUUCCUUUCUGUGGAGAUAUUAACUGAAAAAGUACUUUUCUCUUACCUUCACCCGGGAGGCCUGCUAUUAGAAUUCCCACACACAGUGAAACUCUGCUCUUGCAUCCCUGUAGUUGGCCCUGUAACUUUGACCUAGAAAAUGGAAGGAGAGGCCAUGGCACACACUCAAAUGGAGAUCAGAAGACAAUUUCCAGGAGUCUCUUCUCUCCUUUCCACCAUGUGGAUCCCAAGAAUUGAACUCAGAAGCACCAGCUCCACACCACCAGGAAUUGUACUGAGCCAUCUCUCCAACCCCAUACUGAUGAGCAUUUUGAUCGCAGGAAUCACAACAGCAGUCUGAACAAGUAGAAGCCAGCAACCUUGCCUUGUGGAUGCCUAGAAACAGAGACCCGAAAUAUGUCAAAUCUCUCUCUCUAUCUCUCUGAUACGUGUGUUCAUUAUCAUAAAUAGACCAAUUAACAAUAAUGUGCAUGUAAAAAUAUGUAAUCCCCUUCUACAUUUCCAACAGAACAGAAACCAAAAUAUGCCAGGCAUGGUGACACACACCUAUAAUCACAACACUUAGGAGGUAGAGGCAGGAGGAUUGUGAAUAUGAAGUCAUUCUCUGCUAUAUAACAUGUUCAAAGUUAACCUAAGCUAUUCAAGACCUAUCAAGGAAAACCAAGACAAAUAAAUAAGGCUGGGGGUGUAGCUUGGUUGGGAAAGUACUUUAAUAGGUUUUCUGCCACAAUAAUGUUUCUUCAUUGAAGUAGUAAGCCAGAUCAAGCUUAACUGAAAAAGCAUAACAACAGGUUUAUUGAGGGCAAAGCAACUCCCAGGCGGGUUCACUGGUCUCAGAGAUC